AGCCAGGCCACCUGUCGGAUUAUCAUCCUCCAAAUCCUGCAUCAAUAUAAGAGACAGAGGAUCAUGGUUCAUUCUGGAAAUGAUCUGGCAGAUGUCCAGAGCGAAGACUAAAGGAUGCAAUCCAGGACACCUCUUGCCUUUAGACAUCAUGUCUCAGUCUCCUCUGAUCUGUGAAAGUUUCUUAGUCUUUGCUUGUUUUUGUGACUUGGACAGUUUUGAAGAGUACCAGUGAGGUAUCUUGUAGAGAGUCUUGAAGACUGAUGGUGUUUUCUUGUGACUACGCUGGAGUUGUGGAUUUUGAGGGAAGAAUGUCACAGAGCUCAUAUCUGUCACUCUGGGGGUGAGAAGAUCUCAAAUCCUGCAGCUACUUUCCUGCGUCCCCAGUCUCAAGAGCCUCGGAUGAAGAGGGAAGCCUCGCUCCCAGUUUAGCCAGGCUCUGCCUCUUGCUGGAGAUGCUGUAGUUUGAAAGUGGAAACUGCAUUAAAUUUGGAGUUUAUUCUUAGGGGCUGUGGUUCCAGGAAUCAUGAGAGCAAUUCCUUUAGAGAACUGAGCCGGCUUAAAGCCACGAAAGCACUAAGCCAAUAGGUCUUACCUUCUCAAGAGACAGCGAGAAUUCAAAGCUUGCAUUUGGGAGAAGAAACUGGAAAAUCAUCGUCC
rnacentral:lncRNA from 1 species